UACGUAGGGGGCAAGCGUUGUCCGGAUUCAUUGGGCGUAAAGAGCGUGUAGGCGGCCAGGUAGGUCGGUUGUGAAAACUCGAGGCUCAACCUCGAGACGUCGGCGGAAACCAUCUGGCUAGAGUCCGGAAGAGGAGAGUGGAAUUCCUGGUGUAGCGGUGAAAUGCGCAGAUAUCAGGAAGAACACCGAUGGCGAAGGCAGCUCUCUGGGACGGUACUGACGCUGAGACGCGAAAGCGUGGGGAGCGAACAGG
rnacentral:rRNA from 1 species